UACGUAGGUGGCAAGCGUUGUCCGGAUUUAUUGGGUUUAAAGGGUGCGUAGGCGGCCCUGUAAGUCAGUGGUGAAAUACGGCAGCUCAACUUUCGAGGUGCCAUUGAUACUGCAGGGCUUGAGUACAGACGAGGUAGGCGGAAUUGACGGUGUAGCGGUGAAAUGCUUAGAUAUCGUCAAGAACACCGAUAGCGAAGGCAGCUUACUAGACUGUAACUGACGCUGAGGCACGAAAGUGUGGGGAGCAAACAGG
rnacentral:rRNA from 1 species